UGGGGAAUUUUGGACAAUGGGCGAAAGCCUGAUCCAGCAAUGCCGCGUGUGUGAAGAAGGCCUUCGGGUUGUAAAGCACUUUUGUCCGGAAAGAAAUCCUUGGCUCUAAUACAGUCGGGGGAUGACGGUACCGGAAGAAUAAGCACCGGCUAACUACGUGCCAGCAGCCGCGGUAAUACGUAGGGUGCAAGCGUUAAUCGGAAUUACUGGGCGUAAAGCGUGCGCAGGCGGUUUGCUAAGACCGAUGUGAAAUCCCCGGGCUCAACCUGGGAACUGCAUUGGUGACUGGCAGGCUAGAGUAUGGCAGAGGGGGGUAGAAUUCCACGUGUAGCAGUGAAAUGCGUAGAGAUGUGGAGGAAUACCGAUGGCGAAGGCAGCCCCCUGGCAAGUACUGACGCUCAUGCACGAAAGCGUGGGGAGCAAACNGGAUUAAUNCCCUGGUAGUCCACGCCCCUAAANGAUGUCAACUAGUUGUUGGGGGAUUCAUUUUCCUUAGUAACGUAGCUAACGCGUGAAGUUGACCGCCUGGGGAGUACGGUCGCAAGAUUAAAACUCAAAGAAUU
rnacentral:rRNA from 1 species